rnacentral:misc_RNA from 1 species
UGGUAUACCUGCGCAGCACUC